GCCAGUGUGGCAAGUACUGCAAGAAAGAUGGAUAUUACCCUUUUCAAUUUUAGGAGCUGGAAUAUACAAUAGAUGUAUUUUUCCGUCAAAGCUGGAAGGAUGAAAGGUUAAAAUUUAAAGGACCCAUGACAGUCCUCCGGUUAAAUAACCUAAUGGCAAGUAAAAUCUGGACUCCGGACACAUUUUUCCACAAUGGAAAGAAGUCAGUGGCCCACAACAUGACCAUGCCCAACAAACUCCUGCGGAUCACAGAGGAUGGCACCUUGCUGUACACCAUGAGGCUGACAGUGAGAGCUGAAUGUCCGAUGCAUUUGGAGGACUUCCCUAUGGAUGCCCAUGCUUGCCCACUAAAAUUUGGAAGUUAUGCUUAUACAAGAGCAGAAGUUGUUUAUGAAUGGACCAGAGAGCCAGCACGCUCAGUGGUUGUAGCAGAAGAUGGAUCACGUCUGAACCAGUAUGACCUUCUUGGACAAACAGUAGACUCUGGAAUUGUCCAGUCAAGUACAGGAGAAUAUGUUGUUAUGACCACUCAUUUCCACUUGAAGAGAAAGAUUGGCUACUUUGUUAUUCAGACGUACCUGCCAUGCAUAAUGACAGUGAUUCUCUCACAAGUCUCCUUCUGGCUCAACAGAGAGUCUGUACCAGCAAGAACUGUCUUUGGAGUAACAACUGUGCUCACCAUGACAACGUUGAGCAUCAGUGCCAGAAACUCCCUCCCUAAGGUGGCUUAUGCAACAGCUAUGGAUUGGUUUAUUGCAGUGUGCUAUGCCUUUGUGUUCUCAGCUCUGAUUGAGUUUGCCACAGUAAACUAUUUCACUAAGAGAGGUUAUGCAUGGGAUGGCAAAAGUGUGGUUCCAGAAAAGCCAAAGAAAGUAAAGGAUCCUCUUAUUAAGAAAAACAACACUUACGCUCCAACAGCAACCAGCUACACCCCUAAUUUGGCCAGGGGUGACCCAGGCUUAGCCACCAUUGCUAAAAGUGCAACCAUAGAACCUAAAGAGGUCAAGCCUGAAACAAAACCACCAGAACCCAAGAAAACCUUUAACAGUGUCAGCAAAAUUGACCGACUGUCAAGAAUAGCCUUCCCGCUGCUAUUUGGAAUCUUUAACUUAGUCUACUGGGCUACGUAUUUAAACAGAGAGCCUCAGCUAAAAGCCCCCACACCACAUCAAUAGAUCUUUUACUCACAUUCUGUUGUUCAGUCCUCUGCACUGGGAAUUUAUUUAUGUUCUCAACGCAGUAAUUCCCAUCUGCUUUAUUGCCUCUGUCUUAAAGAAUUUGAAAGUUUCCUUAUUUUCAUAAUUCAUUUAAGAACAAGAGACCCCUGUCUGGCAGUCUGGAGCAAAGCAGACUAUGCAGCUUGGAGACAGGAUUCUGACAGAGCAAGUGAAAGAGCAAAGUCAUGUCAGAAGGAGACAGAAUGAGAGAGAAAAGAGGGGGAAGAUGGUUCAAAGAUACAAGAAAAAGUAGAAAAAAAAACACUUAACUAAAACCCCUAGGUCAUUUGUAGAUAUAUUUCCAAAUAUUCUAAAAAAGAUACUGUAUAUGUCAAAAAUAUUUUUAUGUGAAGGUGUUUCAAAGGAUAAAUUAUAAAUGUUUCAUGAAGAAAAAUUUAAAAAAUCUAUGUCUUUAUUACACAAACUAUGGCGUGCUUAUAUUUUUGUUUUGCUUUUUAAACUGAUGUAUAGCUUUAACAUUUUGUUUCCAAAGCUGAAGAUCCCCAUUCUUUCUCUUUGAAAAAAAAAAUGCCGAAUGCAUUAUUUUGUCAUAAAAUGCUAUUUUAAAAUUCAUGGAACUUUCAUAGGCAAAGGUGCAGUUGCUCAUUGUAGAGCACAUUUAGUCCAAUGAAGAUAAAUGCUUUAAAUAGUUUACUUCACUUUCAUCUGAGCUUUUACCGCUAGACUCAAAGAAGAAUAAUUUUAACAGACAUGUAUACUCCAUAGAAACUAAACUAAAAUAAUUUAAAAAUAUUCCCUUUUUCACCCUAUUUUCAGAUAGCACAUGAGCCCAACACUCACUUAAUUCUCAUUAUGAAGAUGUUUUUAGAGGGGCAAAAAUAUUUUGCAAGCUCUGGAAUUGUUGAAUGUAUUCUUUUAUAUAACUACAUUAAAAGCUUUAGAUUGAAAUUUAUGACUAGCAAACAAAAAUAGAAUAUAUAAACGAUAUAUGUAAAUAUACAGCAUGAGAUUGUACAUUUUUUACUUUUUUAAAAUUGCGUUCUUAAAAUAUUGUGUAAGAAUCACUGCACUUAGCUGUUAGAAUGUUGUUAAAUGCUAUGGAAAUACAUUUAGAACCUGCAUUUAAGAACAGAACAGCAAGUAGGAACCACGUGGAACUUAAAACAUAUGGGUAUGAAGUCCACUUAUGUAGACAAAACUUAUAAUUUCCAAACUGUUGUCUAGUGUACAGUGAUCAGUUGCUAUCUGUUCAAGUCAUUCCACACAUUUCCCUAUUUUAGGCUAUUAUAAUAUAGAAAGAAAAUGGGAAGCAUUAGUUGGAGCUAGAAAAUGAACUGUAUAUUAUUGCUAUAUUUGCUAAUACCAACUAUUUCAAUAAGUGUUGUACCAUAUGUAGCAUUAAAUAUAAAAUACAUAAAAGAAUGUACAGAAAAUAGCUUUUAUUGAGUAAUAUUAUUACAUUUCAUUUAUACUGUAGCAAUAUAUUUGUAGGUAUUCUAUGUAAGGGCUUUAAAUAAAAGAGGUCCAUUAAUACUUCCUUAUAAAAAUUCUAGUCUGUUUCAUUACUGCCCAGAUGUUUUAGAGAUAAAUAUUUAUGCAGAAGGUAUUUUUGAAGUCUCCUUUUGUCUGAUAGAGUUUAACAGAUAUUUAAAUUUAGUGUUCAGAAUCCACAAGUCAUGGUCUAAACACACUUAGAAUACUACAGCAUAAACCUGUUAGCAUUAUUGCCAAAUAAGACAGUUGGGAUCCAAACCCAAGUCUUGAGCAAUGUUUUUCUCAAAAAGCUGCUAUCCAAUGACAUAGGAAAAUACAUUGUGUUUUCCUAAACACACUUUUCUUUUUAAAUGUGCUUCAUUGUUUGAUUUGGUCCUGCCUAAAUUUCACAAGCUAGGCCAAUGAAGGCUGAAUCAAAGACAUUUCAUCCACCAAUAUCAUGUGUAGAUAUUAUGUAUAGAAAAUAAAAUAAAUUAUGGCUCUAACUUCUGUGUUGCUGUUUAUCUUGUUAUUUUUCGGCGUUAUACUAAUGUGUUUAUUGAGAGCAUUUUACCUUCCAGACUUCUCAUGGCUAACUUUUGGUCUGUAUUUUGCUCCUUAGAUGUGAAUAUUUCUUAUUAGUCUGCUUCCUGCUACUCAAUGACUGCAUUUCUAUCAUUUCUCAGUUUGUUAGUAUAUGUGGAUAGUAUUCUACUGUAUAAAUGAUUGCAAAGUUUAUCAAAAACAAAUUAUUAUAUGUAGCUUUUCUACAGUGCUUUGCUAAACCAUGUAGUACUAGUUAAGUCUUCCUUGAAAAUAAAGAUACACUGUUAUAGGGGACAGUUCCUGUUUACUCCCAGGAAACUUUUUUAAAAGAUGACACUGAAUGUUUAUUGCACUUUAGUGCAGUGAAGUGGCAAUAAAACCUAACAUGAAUCAAGGUUGUUUAUGGCGGAUGCAUGUGUUCCUUUACAGAGUUUAGCAAAAGCUCUUAAUUUGAUGUCAUACUGUAUUCUACUCAA
rnacentral:sRNA from 1 species